GGGGGGGGGGGGGGGGGGGGGGGGGGGGGGGGGGGGGGGGGGGGGGGGGAGGGGGGGGGGGGGGGGGCGGGGGGCGGGCGGGUGAGUGACGCGGGGGGGACGUGCGUCAAGGGGGGGGGCAACAGUUGGAGGCGACUGCGCGUACCGCGUCAGGCCCCGGUGCCGCAUGGCGCGGAGGGGCACGUGGCAGUCCGCGUUGAGGUGGCCUCGCGGCCGAUUAGCGAGUUGGUGCGGUAACGGCCCACCAAGGCGACGAUCGGUAGCCGGACUGAGAGGUUGAACGGCCACAGUGGGAAUGAGACACGGCCCAGACUCCUACGGGAGGCAGCAGUGGGGAAUAUUGCACAAUGGGGGAAACCCUGAUGCAGCGACGCCGCGUGGAGGAAGAAGGUCUUCGGAUUGUAAACUCCUGUUGUUGGGGAAGAUAAUGACGGUACCCAACAAGGAAGUGACGGCUAACUACGUG
rnacentral:rRNA from 1 species